AUGAACGCUGGCGGCGUGCCUCAUCCCUGCCAGUCGAGCGAACAGACGAGGAGCUUGCUCCUCUGACGUUAGCGGCGGACGGGUGAGUAACACGUGGAUAACCUACCUAUAAGACUGGGAUAACUUCGGGAAACCGGAGCUAAUACCGGAUAAUAUAUUGAACCGCAUGGUUCAAUAGUGAAAGACGGUUUUGCUGUCACUUAUAGAUGGAUCCGCGCCGCAUUAGCUAGUUGGUAAGGUAACGGCUUACCAAGGCAACGAUGCGUAGCCGACCUGAGAGGGUGAUCGGCCACACUGGAACUGAGACACGGUCCAGACUCCUACGGGAGGCAGCAGUAGGGAAUCUUCCGCAAUGGGCGAAAGUCUGACGGAGCAACGCCGCGUGAGUGAUGAAGGUCUUCGGAUCGUAAAACUCUGUUAUUAGGGAAGAACAAAUGUGUAAGUAACUAUGCACGUCUUGACGGUACCUAAUCAGAAAGCCACGGCUAACUACGUG
rnacentral:rRNA from 1 species